rnacentral:siRNA from 1 species
UGAGAGAUUUAGUCGCCAUAAUGC